CACCAAUCACAACUGACGAACUUAUUAUUCUGCAGUUCUAUCAAAUUUCCCGUGAAAUGCAAUUUCGCGAACGUUCUUACGGUGAUAGACGGUUUGGCGCAACCGAAUCAUAAUAAUCAUACCCGCUUUUCUUUAUAAAGCCUAGCAUACGGUCACGCCGUAGAAUGUUGUAAAUGCAUGAACGAUUGUGCGUCUUUACAUUACAUGAAUCCUGGCAAGGUCGCCAUGUGAGGGCGUUUACUUUCUGUUUUUUUAAAUUGUAUAAACUAAAGCAUUAUUGUUAGGAUUAACGCUAGUAGAUAGGUAAUCCUAUUUCAUCACUGCCCUAGUAAUAAAUUAUAUCUAGAGGCGCUUCCUUCACUGACUGAAUGUUUACAUUACCUUUCUAGUAUUUAUUGACAUUCCCAUAAUAUACCCCGAAAUAAGGUAUGAUAGAUCAAAAUCUGAUAGACAUUCACACUAUGCCUAAAAUUAUAAGCCAUCUACUUAAGAUAGUUUUGUCUAGAUUAGAAUUAUAUUGAUGACUAUAAAGAUUCAAGAAAAUUGACUUUAGUCUUUAGACUAGUAAAUUAAUUUACAGGAUUACUUGCCUUAAAUUUGGCUGUUAUGAAAAUUUACAUAUAAAAUGUUUUAUCUGAUCGAGGAUCUUUGAAUGUGGACUGUGAAAGGCAGAGUAGUAAAUUGUAUACAUUUUUCAGUGAGAUUUCGUAGAUUGGAGAAUCAAGACUCCAUUUUAAGUAUAUUUAUUGUGACGAGGCAGGUACUGCUGUUGCCAUAAGAGUGUGUCAAAUGUACAGCUCAAGUUGGAACUUCCCCUUUAUUGCCAAAAACCUAUUAAUAAUUUGCUCCGUACUUUCUGGUCAGCUAAUGGUGAUAGAGUACAGUCAACUGUAAGAAUAUGGGUGCACAAAUCAUUUCAAAAAUAUGUCCCAUAGCUC